rnacentral:rRNA from 1 species
AGGAUCAUUACCGAAUCGUCAACAAGAGUUGUUGCUGGUCCCUGCAUGGGGGCAUGUGCACGCUCUGUUUACACAUCCACUCACACCUGUGCACCCUCUGUAGUUCUAUGGCCUGGGUGGGCUCUGUCCCCCUGCUGUGGUUCUGCGUCUUUACACACACACACUACAACAAAGUCUCAUGGAAUGUAUGUCGCGUUUAACGCAAUGAAAUACAACUUUCAGCAACGGAUCUCUUGGCUCUCGCAUCGAUGAAGAACGCAGCGAAAUGCGAUAAGUAAUGUGAAUUGCAGAAUUCAGUGAAUCAUCGAAUCUUUGAACGCACCUUGCGCCCUUUGGCUAUUCCGAAGGGCAUGCCUGUUUGAGUAUCAUGAACACCUCAACUCUCAUGGCUUGCCGUGAUGAGCUUGGACUUUGGGGGUCUUGUUGGCCUGUGGGCCAGCUCCUCUUAAAUGAAUUAGCUUGCCGGUGUUUGGUGGCGUCACAGGUGUGAUAACUAUCUACGCUUGUGGUUUUCCAUCAGGUAACCUUCAGCGAUGGAGGUUCCACCGGGGCUUAUAAAUGUCUCUCCUCGGUGAGGACAGAUUUUGACCGUUUGAUCUCAAAUCAGGUAGGACUACCCGCUGAACUUAAGCAUAUCAAUAAGCGGAGGAA